ensembl:lncRNA
GAGGGGGCUCCGGCACCACGCGCUGGGCGGCCGGGCUGGGACAGAGCGCCUGGACCCGCGGCGGCGGCGGCAGCGGCGCUCCCCACCCUCUGCCUCGACACCCGGCCGGCGAGCCAGCGAGCUGAGGGCCCCCGGGGUAAGCCAUAGCGCGCUCGGCGAAGCCGGGGACCUCGUGCACGCUUCGGGUUCCUACCAUGCGCCAAUAAGGGAGAUUAGAAACGGAAAAGGAGAUUACGGAGAGAUCAGAGACGAGAGGUGUGCCUCUCCGCGUCCCUUGGCACACCGCGCGCGCGCGCGCGCUCGCAUCUGGACACACAUACGUGCCCAGACAGCCGUACACGCACCCACUCGUGCUACUGCCAUCCGACCUCACGCACCGGCGCCCCAGCUAUGCGUGAGUCCAGGCAGGAAUGGACAGCCACGCACGAUUUCCCCGCAGCCGAACUCCGAGGGAGAUGUGGCCCAUUUCACUCAGCCAGGUCCCCCACCCCCACCCCCACCCCCACCCCAAACAGGCGUCUUCGACCAGUUGCGGAAUCCUGCAAUUAUUCACAAAGCGUGCUGAAAAUGUACUUUAGGAAGCGUAAUCUUGCUAUAUAUGGCAAGGUAAGGGCGAGCCUGGAGGAUGAGUGUUUCCAUUUUUUAAUGUUUUACGUGUAGCCAUCUGACCACUUUUUAUUGGGUAGCAUAUCAUAUGAGCACUUUGGUGUAGGCUUGGAACAUCUACAGCUGGAGGUAAGGCUGGAAAUGCCAUAAGAUUUAAGGGUGCUAAAAAUGGAUGCUGAAGAGCCUGGGAAGAGAGGGCACGCGGCAGUGGGUUUGAAAGGGGGAGGCACACAUGAACAUUAGGACACGAAAGCCAUGGGUGGGCUGUCUUGCCGGGUAUUCCUGCAGACGCCUAAAGGAUCCUGUGUGUGCUGCCGCCGCUCUGGGACUGGAUCUUGUCUCUUCUGGUUGGAGCGCCUCGAUUCCUGGCCUGCUGGAUUUGGGGGGCUGCACUGCCUGGCGCUGGGAGAUCAAAUGAGACUGCACAGAAGCAUAAAAUGAAUAGACUGUCCAUCCAACCAAAGACCGGGGGCAGCAGCACACCAGCAAGACGGCAUCUGUCUUCCCCAGCCUAGAAGCCCUGUGAAAUCGAGGAUCUUCCCCCUAAAACACUCACAUACAAGAUAUGUGCAAUCAAGCUGCCACCGCUUGGUAAAAAAGCUCGUGCUGCCUAACCCAAAAGGAUCAGGAGCCGAUCCUUGAAUCCGCGGUCACUUCUAUAGAACGGGAUUUCCCCCCCCCCCCUUCCUCCUUAACCUGCGCUGGAAAUUGCCGUUGGCUUUUUACAUCUCUAUAGAGGAAGGCUAAAGAGUCGUGCGUGAGAACGAAGCAAUUUACAAUGCAAAUAGAGGCCUCAGAAGGGAUGGCUGCUGCUGCUCACUCCUAACAGCUUGCUGCACCUUAAUAGCUGGUUUUAUUUUCUGAUAUUAAUAGAUGAAUUGUUGGCUAACACUGCCGGAGAUUACUUGCUGAAAGGGGGAAAAAGUUCGGAAUAAACUCUGAAGGCCACAGAUCUCAUUUGGAUGUUUUAGCCCCACAUAUACAAACAGAAACCAGGUCAUAUUUACAUAAAAGGAGGAAUCUGAAGAAGGGCAAGUGUCCUGGAUAACUGACUACUCACGGUGGCAGCUCCGGAGUCUGGUAGGAGGAAGACAGAGGUGCAUGAGGGAAGCGAGUUGUUAUCUUUGGUUAUCUAGCUGUAUGAGUGUAUUGGUCUUCAUAAAGCUAGAUAACCGAAAGUAAAAACUCCUUCAAGGUCGCCGGGCAGCGUGAGAAUGAAAGACUACAACCAAGAGACAGUAAAAACCGGAAAGGUCAGGAAUACUUAUUGAAUCUAACUUUGUUUUUGUUUUUUGUUUUGUUUUUUGCUUUUUCCUUAUAAGAGUAAAGGUGGGAUACAAGGAAAUUAAGCGACACAAGAUGCUGAAAUUGAAAAGUGCCAGGGUUUGGGGGAGGGUUGUUAGGGCUGUAAAGAAUUGUAUAGUGCUCAGGGUAAAGAUGCAUGUACAAUGUGUUCUGUUUUAAGGCCAAAGUUUAUAUACGAGGGAUUUUUUUCUUCUUCUUAGCUGUUGUAGAGAUUUCUGACAACUGGUUUAAAAAUGAUUCCAUGAUUAUGUAGGCUUGGGCAGUUCCCCUCCGAGGCCCCUCCCCCCCAAUUUGAAGAUUGUGCUUGGAAACUACUUUAAAUGUAUUUGGGCUAAAUGUCAAAUGCUAUGAAAUUAGACUUUCAGAAAAGUUUAUCCUGGAAAGUUAAUAAUUUAUAACUAUUGAGGACUCAGCAGUAGCAGGGAAAAUGAAAAAAAAAAAAAAAAAGCAAAGGCUGAUUUUGAUUCUUCUAUUCAAAAUACAAGGACAGAUGCUUCUCUGUUCCAAGAGGGUUUCCUUGAGGAAGCUACUGAAGCAGAAAGACAUGAUGGAGACGAGAUCGCCUCCUCUCUUGUCAAAGUGUUAAAAAAAUGUUCUGUCUUACUCUGCGCCUAGCAUUGGAAAUGAAAGUGACAUUUACGCCAGAACCCACGUGGGCGCCUCCUCUCUUUUUGUUUAAGGAUGAUCAGGUCUAUCCAGGAAACAGCUCUGGCAUCCCAAACUGAAAUAAUUAGGACGUAUAUAGACCUGACAAAAAUGGAAAGGGGGUGGGGAAUCGCAGGGUCUGUCUUGCCUAAUUGAUUCCGCUAAACGGAACGAGGAGAUGUGAACGGCGGGACGCUCCGAUUCCCACGCUCGGGGGCAGGGGGUAAGGCGGCCGGCAGCCUAUGACAGACAGCCCUGUUGGAGGGUAGGGUAUGAAAAAAACAUCCAGUGCACACACCAUACUCAACUCCACCGCUUAAGAAGGUAAAGGCAUUUCCCACCCACAGACAUCUGCAGGCUCCCAAAUGGCAGCGCCAACUGGUCUGCUUGCUGCUCGCUGGUUUUUUUGUUUUUUUGUGUUUUUUUUGAACCGCUGUUUAAUCUGCUGGCCAGGAUAAAGUUUGGCUUCUGAAGUUUGGUUGAGAUUUUUCAAUAUGUAAGGAGACCUGGUAGAAAAUGAUUCCAAGAAAGUCCCAUCAUGCCCGCCCUGGGAGACAUCCUUGGUCUGGCCGGGGGCCUGGUGAACACCCUUUCUUUCGAGUUUUUGUUUUGGCUGGGGUAUACUUUCCAGUACACAGCUCGGUGCCACAGUCUCAGUUAUGACUUCAUCAGCUUGUUUACCUCUUAAUGUGACACGCAGAGGAGCGAGGCGCCCGGAAGCUAAUUGAUGCCUACUAGAAGUGAAACUGUAAAGUCAUCAGCCCAGAGAGAGUGGAUUACAGUAGCAGGGUGAGAAAAGCUCGUUUUGGAGUAGUCCCAGCUGGAUGCACUCUAAACGGCCAUUUUUGUUUAAUUUGAAAAUAACUACGCCUGGCAUACACUUUGGGGUUAUGAAGGUCCGCACUGCAACCCCUGAAAGUCUUUACAUUGGGCCACAUCACCAAGCCAACAUUUGUAUGGGCAUUGACACAUAAAUACAACCACUGCGAUGAGAAAAUGACUGGAACAGCCUACGACCAUCCACAGGGCCUAGAUUACUGACACUCCCAACUAGCCCACCACUCUUCAAAGGCAGUCCAUUUCCCUUUGUAGCUUCUACUCCUGGUAAGACUUCAGACUGGAAAAGCCAGUAAAACCACUGUUAAUUUCACUUAGAAGCUCAGAGAGACUUUAAUAAGGUAAAUUCUCUGUUUGGCUGCUGAACACGCGCCAAAGUUUUACUACCCUGGUGACCAUUGUGAAGACCCUUGUUUAUUUACAUUUGAAGCACUGUUUGUGCAAACAACCUUUCCUUGUUAAGUGCCUGUAUUUCUUUCAUUUACUUCGUGUCCAGGGGUGCUAUUUACCUAGAAGCAUUGUCUACUACAAUUACAUUUACAUUACAAAGUGUGUGGUUUUUCUUUCUCAAGGAGGUUCAAUUAAGGCAAUAAGAUGUUUGCUGGGGAAACCUAUUGUUUACUGAAAGCACUCAAUGGAGUCAAAUUACUGAAGCUUUUUGCCUACAUCUUGGUCUUUUCUGUAAAUAUGUGAAAUAUAACAUCUAAGGAAAAUAAACAAUAUUAUAAUUACGUGUUUGCCAUUGUCAUAUCAACCUUGCUUUGUAUCAUACUAAUGUUGCA